GACGAACCGUGCGAACGUUGUUCGGAAUCACUGGGCUUAAAGGGCGCGUAGGCGGGCCCCCUUGUCCGGGGUGAAAGCUUUCGGCUUAACCGGAAAAGUGCCCCGGAAACGGGGGGCCUGGAGGGAGGUAGGGGCAGCCGGAACUUCCGGUGGAGCGGUGAAAUGCGUUGAUAUCGGAAGGAACGCCGGUGGCGAAAGCGGGCUGCUGGACCUCUACUGACGCUGAGGCGCGAAAGCCAGGGGAGCGAACGGG
rnacentral:rRNA from 2 species